UACGUAGGGUGCGAGCGUUAAUCGGAAUUACUGGGCGUAAAGCGUGCGCAGGCGGUUUUGUAAGUCAGAUGUGAAAUCCCCGGGCUCAACCUGGGAACUGCAUUGGUGACUGCAAGGCUUGAGUGUGUCAGAGGGAGGUGGAAUUCCGCGUGUAGCAGUGAAAUGCGUAGAUAUGCGGAGGAACACCGAUGGCGAAGGCAGCCUCCUGGGAUAACACUGACGCUCAUGCACGAAAGCGUGGGGAGCAAACAGG
rnacentral:rRNA from 1 species